CCCUUCAAGUGACGGAACAGGGACACCAUGGCGAACGAAACGAUGCUAUAUGCUGAAUACAAUCCUCAAUCUAACAUCAGGAGCGAAACAGAAAUCGACAAAAGACUUGGUGGUACUCUGAUAGCGGUUGGCCUUGGUGUUGCUGCCGCAGGAUUUGCAGGUCGCUAUGCAUUCCAGUUGUGGAAGCCUCUAGGACAGGUCCUGUCACAGACUGCUAAGAAGAUGCCCACCUCAGCCUUCUCAUCCUACCAUUAUAAAGGAGGGUUUGACCAGAAGAUGACUAAAAGAGAAGCCAGCCUCAUCCUUGGUAUUAGCCCAACCAGCACCAAGUCCAAGGUGAGAGAUGCCCACCGGAGGAUCAUGGUCCUGAACCACCCAGAUAAAGGUUAAUAGCCUCCCUCAGUCUCCCUCUGCUGAGAGGAUUACACACAGUCAUGCACCAAUACGCAUACACAGUAGCUAGUUUUACACACUCGUCCUCAAUGGGUUUUUCCCUCUCCUGAGAGGAGUACACACGGCGGUUAGUUUUACUCUGUGUGAAAUGGUCUGUGGGAUUCCUAUCUGACUCUGGGCGAUAAGGGCUGAGGUGACAGGAAGGAGGAGUUUCCAGCUGAACUGUACGAGGAUGGAGGAGUACUUUUCUGCAAAGUCUGUCAGCAUUCAAUCGACUACAUACAGUGUCAAACUGCGGUGGAGCACCUGAGGUCACUCCGACUCAAAAAUAGGAGGGCUAGUGGACCAGAACACAGACCCUGGCCUCCUGUCUGACAAAGACCCCCUCCACAGAGAGAAAGGAGUUCAUCUUGGACUUCACAAGAACAUUAAUCAAAGCAGAUAUACUUGAGAUGGGGCCCAAGUUCUCCACAUUUCUGAAGAAACACUGCAAGCAGGGAGGGUCUUUCCCAGUGCCAUCCCAUCUGCGUACAGAGUACCUACCAGGCCUCUAUCCACAAUAUAAACAGGACAUCAAAGAUGCUGUAGAGGGAAAGGACAUUUAUGUCAUCCUUGAUGAGACGACCGAUGCCUUUGGAAGAUGUGCACUCGCCAUCCUACUCCAGCCAGUGGAUAAGCAACCUGUUGUAGCAGAUCUGGCUUUCUUGGAUAGAGUUAACUUUACCACUGUGUCCCAAGCUGUCAUUUCCAGUCUCAACAACAAUGGGGUUGACUUUAACAAUGUGUCAGCUUUUGUAAGCGAUUCAGCUAGCUACAUGAAGAAGGCUUUCACCAGCAUCUUGAAGGGCCUCUUCCCCAACUCCGUAUACGUCACCUGCUUUGCCCAUCUCCUGAGCCUGGUGCUGGAUGUUUUUCCAGAGAUGUUUGAGGACGUGAACAGGCUGUGUGCUCUGGUGAAGGUUCUUUCAGGCACCCCAACGUCGUCUGGCGCUGACAUCAUUCAUGCUGGAAAAUGGCCAUUCUACUGUGAUGCCUGUGUAUGCUGUGCAGACCAGGUGUGGCUCCUGGAUACGUGCUAUGGCGUACCUUGCAGAGUACAUGGAUGUGCUCACCAACUUCACUAGGACCUUACCAGAAACGGCGAAGUGUGUCCAGGACCUUUGUGAGCUGCUGAGGGAACUGAAGGCCCAGGCAUUGUUCAUUGUGGAGAUUUUCUUCAUUAUGUUUUUUAUUUCACCUUUAUUUAACCAGGUGCAAGAAAGGACACUAAGGACUAUGUCCAUGCCGUCCCUGCUCUGAGCCAGGUGUCUGCAGAGGAGUGGCACAGACACAUGGGCAUCGACAAGGCAGACUCUAUGGAAGAGGAUCCCCUUACAUGGCCGCAAAGAUCAAUGAGGCCAAGGACCUGCUGGAUAAAGACCAACGGGGCUGAUAACUACAGCCCCUAUC